rnacentral:rRNA from 1 species
AUUGAACGCUGGCGGCAUGCCUUACACAUGCAAGUCGAACGGUAACAGGCCGCAAGGUGCUGACGAGUGGCGAACGGGUGAGUAAUGCAUCGGAACGUGCCCAGUCGUGGGGGAUAACGCAGCGAAAGCUGCGUUAAUACCGCAUACGAUCUAUGGAUGAAAGCGGGGGACCGUAAGGCCUCGCGCGAUUGGAGCGGCCGAUGUCAGAUUAGGUAGUUGGUGGGGUAAAGGCUCACCAAGCCAACGAUCUGGAGCUGGUCUGAGAGGACGACCACCCACACUGGGACUGAGACACGGCCCAGACUCCUACGGGAGGCAGCAGUGGGGAAUUUUGGACAAUGGGCGCAAGCCUGAUCCAGCAAUGCCGCGUGCAGGAAGAAGGCCUUCGGGUUGUAAACUGCUUUUGUACGGAACGAAACGGCUCUGGUUAAUACCUGGGGCUAAUGACGGUACCGUAAGAAUAAGCACCGGCUAACUACGUGCCAGCCGCCGCCGUAACAC